GACUUAAGACUUUUUAAGACUUAAGUCUUUCUAAAAAAAAAAAAAAACUUUUUAAAAAAAGUCUUAAGAAGUUCAGAAUACACUGUUAUCCUUUGCUGUAUUUUCUACAGUUAAAUACCACAAAAUGCCCAGUAAAACUACCAUAAGACAUCUUUACAAGUAGUUACUGUAAUUUGCAUUGCAUUAUGGGUAUAGUACAUAGUAUUACAGUAACUUACUGUAUGUUUUGAAUUUGCAGUAAUUUACUGUUUACACAUUACAGUAGUGGUUCUGUACUUAUAAUAUACAGUAAGAAUUAUAUUUGAUUUCCAACGGUCAUCAUAGCUGCUUCAUUGUGGUUCCCUGUUUCUGUAUUUUUACUCCUUUAGUGGUUAACAUAUUUUUAAGGCAGAAAGAGAGAAUGUACUUUUGUUUUUUUCACAUCCUAGCUAACAUUAACAUGCAGUUUAUCUAGCUACGUCAUCAAGCGUGGCUUCGCUUCCAACCAGCUUUUUCUCUCCAAGUGCAAGUGCAGCUCUGUCUCCGUGCUGUGGGCUCACACUGCUUCAGCUCUUCAAGACAGAUGAUUUUUUUUUCUUAACUCCCAAGCUUUUUCCCUCCAAGUGGCUGUGCAGUUCUGUCCUGCUGACUGCUAACAGCUUCAUCUCUUCAAAAGACAAGACAACAGGUAAAAAGACAACUCUUCAAACAUAUUUGAAGCCACAAAAUAGUCUGGAAAUGUAGAGGAGCAGCUAACCUAAUCUAUAACUUUGAGCUUGCUACAGCUGGUUAGCCUGCAAAAGUACCAUUACAUCUCCAACAUAGUGUAUAAGAGUCUGUAAAUGAGGACAAAGGUGAAAGACAUUAAAGUGGUUUCUGUUAUUUUUUGAGUUGGUUCAGCCACAGUGGCAGGUGG